CAGCAGCCACGGGAAUACGUAGGGUGCAAGCGUUAAUCGGAAUUACUGGGCGUAAAGCGUGCGCAGGCGGUUAUAUAAGACAGAUGUGAAAUCCCCGGGCUCAACCUGGGAACUGCAUUUGUGACUGUAUAGCUAGAGUACGGCAGAGGGGGAUGGAAUUCCGCGUGUAGCAGUGAAAUGCGUAGAUAUGCGGAGGAACACCGAUGGCGAAGGCAAUCCCCUGGGCCUGUACUGACGCUCAUGCAUGAAAGCGUGGGGAGCAAACAGGAUUAGAUACCCGUGUAGUCUCUGUCUCUUAACA
rnacentral:rRNA from 1 species